UGGAGCGUUGAUAUUGACCAUGAAAUGCUAAAAACCCUAUAGAUUUUAGGCAUAGUGUUUGUAACAAACGGUUUUCAACUAAUAAAAAUGAUGUCUACACCAAAUAACAGGUCGGCUUUUCAUUAUCUAAUUAUAUAAAAAAUUGUUUGGUUCUCUCCAGAACGCGCCACCUAGGAUCCAGCGUGGAAAGUCGUGCAAGGAGAGCGCGACACGUCAUCUCCCUCUCUCAAAACGCAUCGUUUCAUUUAACUUAGAACUCUAAUUAUUGCGGGCUUUGCUAUGUGUUUUAGGCUUAUGUUUCGAUGUGGAGAACAGCCCAUAAGAUCGAAACUAGCUUCUUCUUCGAUUUUAGGGUUCAUCUUAGUCUUCGAUCCGUGAGCAUCUUCACCACCAACAAUGGAGUUCCUGGAGGAGGCGUGAGUUGAAUGGUCUUGCAAAAUUUCUGUUAGAAAAUUUGAUUGCGUCUUUACGGCUUCAUUUCUUAUCCUUCUAAACGUUAGAAGUCAUUAAUACAUCGCUUUAACAAACCUCUUAAUACCGUCAACCAAUCAGACAUUGAAUACAUCUUAUCUCUCUUUUGGCCAAUGUUGUUCUUCCGCUGUUGAGGUUAGAUUGCUCAGAUUCUGGGAAGACAUGAAUGUCAAACGCGGUGACGAGUUAUGCUCUUCAAAGGUGAAUAUGUUCUUAAACUCAUGUUCAUAGUGUUCGUCUGUUCAUAGUGUUCUUCAUAGUCUUCUUAUGUUCUUAAACUCAUGUUCAUAGUGUUCUUAAAUUGAACAAUAUGAAACUUUUAUAUUCGGAUCUCAGUUAACAAUCUUCUGAAAGAUUAAUUUAGAAACCGUUUGUGCUUCUAUUCUUUAGCCAUGUUCAUAUCUGGAACAUCCUUUCUUGAUAAGUACGAUGACAACUCUGGGACAAAUCUGGCGUCAUACUUCAUAGAUGCAUGGUCUCUGGUUGCAACGCUUAAGAAUCUGUCUGGUUAGUUCUGCGUUUAAACUCCAGGAAGAUAUCAUAUCAUCAUCAUCUGGUUGUUGCUAUUAUCAUCUGAGGUUUCUUUGUUUUAAACCACCAGUAAAAAAAAUUAUCUUGAUCAUAUAGACUUGUGCUAAUCAUGUACUGAUAUACACCAAAUGAUGAUGAAACUGAUAUCUUGAUCAUAUAGAUUUGUGCUAGACCGUGGUCGUUUGAAUUUCUUGAGCUAUAGGUUAAGAGAAGAGUUUGGGGAUAACUGUGGAAUCGUGAAUGUUUCAAUCAUGGUUAAGAGAAGAGUCUUUGUCUACUGAGAGUAAGCAAACGGCGAUGAAAGACUAUGGAGCAUGUUCGUCGCAAGAAGCGGAGACGGGUCUGUGGAGACUGAGGUCGGAGCCUCCGUCUAUUGAUGGAUAUGGUGGUCGUAUUGUUACAGGAGUUUCUGUUUGGUGUGUGCUUCAACGGCCAACGUAAAUUUGGUGGUGUUUGGCUGCAGUGCUUCACAAAGACGUAUGAUAUUUUUUGUUACUAUACAACAAGUCAUAUUUGUUGUUUGGAACAAAACGAUUACAAGGUUCAAUGUUAAAGUCAAACACGAGACUGAUUCGUGAGUUAUAUAUUUUUUUUUUUACUAUUUCAAGAUUCAUCAUCUUUGGUGUUUUUUUUUUCCAAUGUUUCAAUUUGUAUAAUCAACUCACCUUUGUUUAGAUGUUGUGUUGGUCUAUGUAGUUAAUAUUCACGGAUGUUAUUCUCAGUAAGUAAAUAUGAAUACGUUGUUUGCAAUUUUAUAAAAAAAAAAAACAGAGUAUUUUCACCACUGUUUCUGUAUCUCAAAACAUAUUUUAAGAGUCUCUGUGAUUCGAUAAAACGUAUAUAUUUCAUAAAGGAGCUUAUAAUGCACUCAUAUUACUUAAUUAGUAUAUCUGCCAAACCAUGAUAAAGCAAUGCUUAUUAUACUAUUCAACCAAAACUGAAAUAAAUAGAGAAAGAAAAAUCUUAUUUGAGCUAAUAUGCUGAAGACGGCGUGGGACGUGGGUGCGAGACCUUUCUGAACACGGGUAGUGCUCAGCCAUGCCAUGCUAACAUUCGCGAUUCGCCAAUGCUUCUUCUUCUUCUAUUUUCUAAAUGUUAUCAUUCUUUUAUACACGUCUUUGAAAAAAAAAUUAAUCUCACAAGAAAUUGGCCAUAACUGCAGGAAGCUUCAAGUUUAAGGUUUGUGUGAACAGCUAAGUUCUCUCUUUCUCUCUUAAGAAAUUCUUAUGAAUCAUCAGUAAGAAGAAGAAGGAGCAUUUCGUGAUUUUCCUAAAAUUUUAGAAAAUCUCUGGCUUGAAAGCCGAAUGACUAAAAUGUGACUCUACAGAUCAAUGCUUGAACUGCAGAUACAAAAAAAACACAGUUUGAGGAGAAGACUCGGAAUUUAGAAGAUGUAUCAGCAAAACAUGUAUUGAGAUGCAGAGAUGAAAAGAACAACUUGGGUUACGGAAAAAAAUGGCGAAAAAAAUUAUAAAAAAAUUCGAAUUUAAAAACAUAUAAUCUGAAACAAUAAAUUUUUAUUUAUUAUUUGUAUUUAUACAUCUAAAAUACUAGGAUCUUUUUACCUAUUAAAUAAAAUAUUUUGGUCAUUUUUUUCCUUAUGAUCUAUUUUUGUGACAGAAAUAUGAAAAUAGUCUUCAUAAUCCAAUACAAUUCUAUAAACCGUAUGUUUUUGUAAUCAUUUGUAUUAUGGUAUAAUUAUUUAAACGCCAAUCAUAAGUUUCAAUGGAAAUUUACCAAUUUAUAACUUCUAAAAUUUUAAAGUUAAAAACAUAACAAAUACGAAAAAGACCAAAAAACAAGUUAACAAAUACUACAAUUUACUCUUACAUCUCAACCACAAAGUAUACAAUAUUAAUAACUUCUCACUUAUAUAUAUAUAAUCAAUAAUAAUAAAUAUAAUAUGCACCACAUAAGUGAUAAUAACUUACAGUAAACAACAUGAAUUUUCAGCAAGAACUGAUGUAAAGCCAUC